ensembl:snRNA U2 U2 spliceosomal RNA
AUCACUUCUCAGCCUUUUGGCUAAGAUCAAGUGUAGUGUCUAAUCAUGUGCUUUUAUUUUUCCACAUUAUAUCCCAUUCUCACAGACCCCAGGGCCGACGAUUCUGUAUACAAACAUCAUUUUUGGAGAUAUAUGACAAACUCUU